UACGUAGGGGGCAAGCGUUGUCCGGAAUCAUUGGGCGUAAAGCGCGUGUAGGCGGCUCGAUAAGUCUGCUGUGAAAGUCCAAGGCUCAACCUUGGGGAUGCCGGUGGAUACUGUCGAGCUCGAGUCCGGAAGAGGAGUGUGGAAUUCCUGGUGUAAGCGGUGAAAUGCGCAGAUAUCAGGAGGAACACCAAUGGCGAAGGCAGCACCUCUGGGACGUGACUGACGCUGAGACGCGAAAGCGUGGGGAGCAAACAGG
rnacentral:rRNA from 1 species